GUCAAGAAUAUUCCUCAAUGGGCGAAAGCCUGAAGGAGCGACGCCGCGUGACCGAUGAAGUCUUUCGGGAUGUAAAGGUCUUUUCUUAGGGAAGAACCUCGCUAUUGCGGGGGUUGACGGUACCUAGGGAAUAAGAGGUUGCUAACUCUGUGCCAGCAGCAGCGGUAAUACAGAGACCUCAAGCGUUAUCCGGAUUUAUUGGGCGUAAAGCGUACGCAGAUGGCUUUUUAAGUCGGUGGUCAAAUCCUUCAGCUUAACUGGAGGACUGCCAUGGAAACUGAAAAGCUCGAGGACGGAAGAGGCCAACGGAAUUGCCGGUGUAACGGUAAAAUGUGUUAAUAUCGGCAAGAACACCAGAUGCGAAAGCGGUUGGCUAGUACGUUCCUGACAUUGUUCGUACGAAAGCGUGGGUAGCGAAUGGGAUUAGAAACCCUAGUAGUCC
rnacentral:rRNA from 1 species